UGGGGAAUCUUGCACAAUGGAGGAAACUCUGAUGCAGCGACGCCGCGUGAGCGAUGAAGCCCUUCGGGGUGUAAAGCUCUUUCGACGGGAACGAUAAUGACGGUACCCGAAGAAGAAGCUGCGGCUAACUACGUGCCAGCAGCCGCGGUAAUACGUAGGCAGCAAGCGUUGUUCGGAAUUACUGGGCGUAAAGAGUGUGUAGGCGGUGCUCUAAGUCUGUUGUGAAAUCUCCCGGCUUAACUGGGAGGGUGCGGCGGAAACUGGAAUGCUAGAGUGUGGGAGAGGUAAGCGGAAUUCCUGGUGUAGCGGUGAAAUGCGUAGAUAUCAGGAGGAACACCUGUGGUGUAGACAGCUUACUGGACCACGACUGACGCUGAGACACGAAAGCGUGGGUAGCAAACAGGAUUAGAUACCCUGGUAGUCCACGCCCUAAACGAUGCAUACUUGGUGUGAGCGAUUCAUUUCGUUCGUGCCGGAGCUAACGCGUUAAGUAUGCCGCCUGGGGAGUACGGUCGCAAGGCUG
rnacentral:rRNA from 1 species